AUUGAACGCUGGCGGCAUGCUUUACACAUGCAAGUCGAACGGUAACAGGCCGCAAGGUGCUGACGAGUGGCGAACGGGUGAGUAAUGCAUCGGAACGUGCCCAGUCGUGGGGGAUAACGCAGCGAAAGCUGCGCUAAUACCGCAUACGAUCUAUGGAUGAAAGCGGGGGACCGUAAGGCCUCGCGCGAUUGGAGCGGCCGAUGUCAGAUUAGGUAGUUGGUGGGGUAAAGGCUCACCAAGCCGACGAUCUGUAGCUGGUCUGAGAGGACGACCAGCCACACUGGGACUGAGACACGGCCCAGACUCCUACGGGAGGCAGCAGUGGGGAAUUUUGGACAAUGGGCGCAAGCCUGAUCCAGCAAUGCCGCGUGCAGGAAGAAGGCCUUCGGGUUGUAAACUGCUUUUGUACGGAGCGAAAAGGCUCUCUCUAAUACAGGGGGCUCAUGACGGUACCGUAAGAAUAAGCACCGGCUAACUACGUGCCAGCAGCCGCCGUAAGAC
rnacentral:rRNA from 1 species